UACAGAGGGUGCAAGCGUUAAUCGGAGUUACUGGGCGUAAAGGGCGCGUAGGCGGUUUGAAGGGUGUGAUGUGAAAGCCUUGGGCUUAACCUGAGAAGUGCAUCGCAAACCAGCAAACUGGAGUAUAUGAGAGGGUGGCGGAAUUUCCGGUGUAGCGGUGAAAUGCGUAGAGAUCGGAAGGAACGUCAAUGGCGAAGGCAGCCACCUGGCAUAAUACUGACGCUGAGGCGCGAGAGCGUGGGGAGCGAACAGG
rnacentral:rRNA from 1 species